UACGUAGGGUGCGAGCGUUAAUCGGAAUUACUGGGCGUAAAGCGUGCGCAGGCGGCUUCGCAAGUCAGACGUGAAAUCCCCGGGCUUAACCUGGGAAUGGCGUUUGAAACUACGGAGCUGGAGUGUGGCAGAGGGGGGUAGAAUUCCACGUGUAGCGGUGAAAUGCGUAGAUAUGUGGAGGAAUACCGAUGGCGAAGGCAGCCCCCUGGGCCAACACUGACGCUCAUGCACGAAAGCGUGGGGAGCAAACAGG
rnacentral:rRNA from 1 species